AGGUCAAGCUACAAAGGGCGCAUGGUGAAUGCCUUGGCAUCAGGAGCCGAUGAAGGACGUGAUAAGCUGCGAUAAGCUUCGGGUAGGCGCACAUAGCCUGAGAUCCGAAGAUCUCCAAAUGAGGAAACUCACAUGGGAAACCCCAUGUAUCAUUAAGUGAAUACAUAGCUUAAUGAAGGUAACUCAGGGAACUGAAACAUCUAAGUACCUGGAGGAAGAGAAAGAAAAAUCGAUUUUCUUAGUAGCGGCGAGCGAAAGGGAAAGAGCCCAAACCGGAAACUUGUUUCCGGGGUUGUGGACAUAGCAUCAAAGUGGAGGCUAUUGUAACUGAAGAGAACUGGAAAGUUCCACCGUAGAAGGUAAUAGUCCUGUAAGUGAAACGAGAAGACCACGAGUUAUGAUCCAGAGUACCACGAGACACGUGAAACCUUGUGGGAAGCAGGGAGGACCACCUCCCAAGGCUAAAUACUACCUGAUGACCGAUAGUGAAGCAGUACCGUGAGGGAAAGGUGAAAAGAACCCCGGGAGGGGAGUGAAAUAGAACCUGAAACCGUGUGCCUACAACCGCUCAGAGCCCCUUAUGAG
rnacentral:rRNA from 1 species